AUUGAACGCUGGCGGCGCGCUUAACACAUGCAAGUCGAACGAGAAAGUCCCUUCGGGGAUGAGUAAAGUGGCGCACGGGUGAGUAACACGUGAGUAAUCUACCUAUAGGUGGGGGAUAACGACCCGAAAGGGUCGCUAAUACCGCAUAAGACCACGGGGACCACGGUCCCAGAGGUUAAAGGAGCAAUUCGCCUUUAGAUGAGCUCGCGUCCCAUUAGCUAGUUGGUGAGGUAACGGCCCACCAAGGCUUCGAUGGGUAGCUGGUCUUAGAGGAUGACCAGCCACACUGGAACUGGAACACGGUCCAGACUCCUACGGGAGGCAGCAGUGGGGAAUCUUGCGCAAUGGACGAAAGUCUGACGCAGCGACGCCGCGUGGGCGAUGAAGGCCUUAGGGUCGUAAAGCCCUGUCGUAGGGGACGAAACCGGGAAACCGCUGACGGUACCCUACAAGAAAGCACAGGCUAACUCCGUG
rnacentral:rRNA from 1 species